GAUGAACGCUAGCGACAGGCUUAACACAUGCAAGUCGAGGGGCAGCGAGGGCGUAGCAAUACGCCUGUCGGCGACCGGCGCACUGGUGAGUAACACGUAUGCGACCUGCCCCCUACAGGGGUAUAACCCGUAGAAAUGCGGACUAAUCCCCCAUAGUCCUGAGUGCUGCAUGGCAUUCAGGGGAAAGGCCAGCCGGUAGGGGAUGGGCAUGCGGCGCAUUAGCUAGUUGGCGGGGCAACGGCCCACCAAGGCGACGAUCGGUAGGGGUUCUGAGAGGAAGGUCCCCCACAUUGGAACUGAGACACGGUCCAAACUCCUACGGGAGGCAGCAGUGAGGAAUAUUGGUCAAUGGGCGCAAGCCUGAACCAGCCAAGUAGCGUGCAGGGACGACGGCCCUAUGGGUUGUAAACUGCUUUUAUAUGGGGAUAAAGUGAGCUACGUGUAGUUUAUUGCAGGUACCAUAUGAAUAAGGACCGGCUAAUUCCGUGCCAGCAGACCGGG
rnacentral:rRNA from 1 species